rnacentral:rRNA from 1 species
CUUAGCUAGGUUGCUGAAGAGCGGAGGACGGGUGAGUAAUGCUUGGGAACAUGCCUUGAGGUGGGGGACAACAGUUGGAAACGACUGCUAAUACCGCAUAAUGUCUACGGACCAAAGGGGGCUUCGGCUCUCGCCUUUAGAUUGGCCCAAGUGGGAUUAGCUAGUUGGUGAGGUAAUGGCUCACCAAGGCGACGAUCCCUAGCUGGUUUGAGAGGAUGAUCAGCCACACUGGGACUGAGACACGGCCCAGACUCCUACGGGAGGCAGCAGUGGGGAAUAUUGCACAAUGGGCGCAAGCCUGAUGCAGCCAUGCCGCGUGUGUGAAGAAGGCCUUCGGGUUGUAAAGCACUUUCAGUCAGGAGGAAAGGUUAGUAGUUAAUACCUGCUAGCUGUGACGUUACUGACAGAAGAAGCACCGGCUAACUCCGUGCCAGCAGCCGCGGUAAUACGGAGGGUGCGAGCGUUAAUCGGAAUUACUGGGCGUAAAGCGUACGCAGGCGGUUUGUUAAGCGAGAUGUGAAAGCCCCGGGCUCAACCUGGGAACUGCAUUUCGAACUGGCAAACUAGAGUGUGAUAGAGGGUGGUAGAAUUUCAGGUGUAGCGGUGAAAUGCGUAGAGAUCUGAAGGAAUACCGAUGGCGAAGGCAGCCACCUGGGUCAACACUGACGCUCAUGUACGAAAGCGUGGGGAGCAAACGGGAUUAGAUACCCCGGUAGUCCACGCCGUAAACGAUGUCUACUAGAAGCUCGGAACCUCGGUUCUGUUUUUCAAAGCUAACGCAUUAAGUAGACCGCCUGGGGAGUACGGCCGCAAGGUUAAAACUCAAAUGAAUUGACGGGGGCCCGCACAAGCGGUGGAGCAUGUGGUUUAAUUCGAUGCAACGCGAAGAACCUUACCUAC